CCUACGGGCGGCUGCAGUGGGGAAUCUUGCACAAUGGGGGAAACCCUGAUGCAGCGACGCCGCGUGAGCGAUGAAGCCCUUCGGGGUGUAAAGCUCUUUCGACAGGGACGAUAAUGACGGUACCUGGAGAAGAAGCUGCGGCUAACUACGUGCCAGCAGCCGCGGUAAUACGUAGGCAGCAAACGUUGUUCGGAGUUACUGGGCGUAAAGAGUGCGUAGGCGGUUCGCCAAGUUCGGUGUGAAAUCUCCCGGCUUAACUGGGAGGGUGCGCCGAAAACUGGCGGGCUUGAGUGUGGGAGAGGGAAGCGGAAUUCCUGGUGUAGCGGUGAAAUGCGUAGAUAUCAGGAGGAACACCGGUGGUGUAGACGGCUUCCUGGACCACAACUGACGCUGAGGCACGAAAGCGUGGGUAGCAAACAGGAUUAGAUACCCCUGUAGUC
rnacentral:rRNA from 1 species